rnacentral:lncRNA from 1 species
UGCGUGUCGUCGGCUAGUGGGUGGAUUUGGCAUAGGGAAAAAUAACAUCUCAUUUGCCGCUAAUUCGUCUAACGGUGAUCAACUACAAAUGAAGGCUUCAGUGAGAUUCAAAUCACCGAAUUAAAUAACUAGCCAAUGAACAUUAAUACAUGGUGUAUUUUUCCGCAGUGUAUCGUUAAGUUGUUGUUAUAGAAUGAGUAGUAUCUGUAGAAUUUUUGUUUUAACAUCUUAAACAUACUACAAAUUGCUUUUGAACUGAUGAAGCUUUCGAAAUUGUAAAGCGAAACGUUUUCAAUAUAUCAAUGAAGUAGUUGA